GCCAUAGCCUCCUCUAUUCUCCAUUCUCUUUGUGAGACAUUGUGGUGUGGUGUGGUGUUUACUACACAUUAAGAUUUCUCAACAUUUAUUUAUAGAUUUUAUGGCAGAGUUUAAAGAGCUGCGAUAAUUGAACACCGCACAAACACAAAAUUACUUUUCAACAUCUAUUACUCAUGGCGUAGAUCUUAUAACUUUCAUCUGGGACAAUGGCGUUGCAUUAAACUAAUAGUCGCAUUUCUCCUCUCCUGUGCUUGCGCACUAACACAACGAUGUCACAACGAAGUUUUGUGUUUUUUUUUUAUUUUUGUCUGGACAGAUGGAAAAAUUCACAUAGUUUUUUUCAUAAAACAACUUAUCAAAAAAUUGGAGACAAAAUACAUUAAUUUAUCACUUUUUUUAUACAGUUGCUUAUUAUUUCUUUGAAUGUUAUAUUAGAUCAAAACGAUGAUGUAGACAAAAACAACUACCCAAAAAACCACUUUAAUGUCGUCUCUGAAAAACACGAUUAAUAAUUACACACUUUUACAUGAUUUCUUUUUAGAUUUUGUUUCUUUCUUUUAAAACGAACAUUGUCAAACACACAUUUUAGCAAAAUAAUAAAACUUAACUUACAAACUGCACUCAAAA